rnacentral:rRNA from 1 species
GACAGAGGGUGCAAACGUUGUUCGGAAUUACUGGGCGUAAAGCGUGUGUAGGCGGUCCGCUAAGUCGGGUGUGAAAGCCCUGGGCUCAACCCAGGAAGUGCACUCGAAACUGGCGGGCUAGAGUAUCGGAGAGGUUGGUGGAAUUCUCGGUGUAGAGGUGAAAUUCGUAGAUAUCGAGAGGAACACCGGUGGCGAAGGCGGCCAACUGGGCCUUACCUGACGCUGAGGAGCGAAAGCGUGGGUAGCGAACAGG